GAUGAACGCUGACAGAAUGCUUAACACAUGCAAGUCAACUGUGGCGGACGGGUGAGUAACGCGUAAAGAACUUGCCUCACGGAUAGGGACAACAUUUGGAAACGAAUGCUAAUACCUGAUACUGUGAGAGAGCUUUGCGUCCCAUUAGCUAGUUGGAGAGGUAACGGCUCACCAAGGCGAUGAUGGGUAGCCGGCCUGAGAGGGUGAUCGGCCACAAGGGGACUGAGGAGCGGCCCUGUCUCCGACGGGCGGCAGCAGUGGGGGAUAUUGGACAAUGGACCAAAGUCUGAUCCAGCAAUUCGGUGUGCACGAUGAAGUUUUCGGGAUGUAAAGUGCGUUCAGAUGGGAAGCGGUACCAACAGAAGAAGUGACGGCUAAAUACGUGCCAGCAGCCGCGGUAAUAC
rnacentral:rRNA from 1 species